UCACCGAAGUCAAGCAUCAUUGGGCGCGGUCAGUACUUGGGUGGGUGACCACCUGGGAACACUGCGUGCCGU